rnacentral:rRNA from 1 species
AGCCGGUGUGAAAAACUCCGGUGGUGUAAGAUGGACCCGCGUCUGAUUAGCUUGUUGGCGGGGUAGGGGCCCACCAAGGCGACGAUCAGUAGCCGGCCUGAGAGGGUGGACGGCCACAUUGGGACUGAGACACGGCCCAAACUCCUACGGAAGGCAGCAG